rnacentral:miRNA from 1 species
UUUGGGACCAUAUCUGUGCCAG